rnacentral:sRNA from 1 species
AUAUCUCUCUGUACGGGAAGGAUGAGAAGCUUCGACUAAGGUUCGAUUCGAGCGAAAGCGAGAAAGCGUUGCCAACGGCAACGACCCG